UACGUAGGGUGCAAGCGUUGUCCGGAAUUAUUGGGCGUAAAGAGCUCGUAGGCGGUUUGUCGCGUCGAAUGUGAAAACCCGGGGCUCAACCCCGGGCCUGCAUUCGAUACGGGCAGACUAGAGUUCGGUAGGGGAGUCUGGAAUUCCUGGUGUAGCGGUGAAAUGCGCAGAUAUCAGGAGGAACACCGGUGGCGAAGGCGGGACUCUGGGCCGAUACUGACACUGAGGAGCGAAAGCGUGGGUAGCAAACAGG
rnacentral:rRNA from 1 species